CCUACGGGAGGCAGCAGUGAGGAAUAUUGGUCAAUGGUCGGGAGACUGAACCAGCAACGCCGCGUGAAGGAAGAAGGCUUUCGGGUUGUAAACUUCUUUUCUGAGGGACGAGGAAAGUGACGGUACCUCAGGAAUAAGCCACGGCUAACUACGUGCCAGCAGCCGCGGUAAUACGUAGGUGGCAAGCGUUAUCCGGAUUUAUUGGGUGUAAAGGGCGUGUAGGCGGGAAAGCAAGUCAGAUGUGAAAACUCAGGGCUCAACCCUGAGCCUGCAUUUGAAACUGUUUUUCUUGAGUGCUGGAGAGGCAAUCGGAAUUCCGGGUGUAGCGGUGAAAUGCGUAGAUAUACGGAGGAACACCAGUGGCGAAGGCGGAUUGCUGGACAGUAACUGACGCUGAGGCGCGAAAGCGUGGGGAGCAAACAGGAUUAGAUACCCCUGUAGUC
rnacentral:rRNA from 1 species